rnacentral:RNase_P_RNA from 1 species
GCAGCACUUCGGCACUGUCGCUGGUGUUGCAAAACACGAGAGGAAAGUCCGGGCAGCAAAGAGUAUCCUGCUUCCGAAAAUGAAAGCUAUUGGCAACAGUAGAUGUAGGUAGAAGAAAACAACCGCCUUUAAAAACGAGGUAAGGGUGAGAAGGUAGUGUAAGAGACUACCAGCACGUAGGCGACUGCGUGGCUGUACCGUUCAGGAGCUGCAAGUUCAUGUAAACCGUUGUUUGAGGGUUACUCGCCCGAGCCAAAUAAGGCACAACGGAGGGUAGAACGCUAAAACGUAUGGGGCGACCCUGCGGUUAGAUAAAUGACAGGCGUCCUUACUUGCCGAAAGACAAUAAGGAAACAAGACCCGGCUUAUAGGAGUGCUGCUUUA